rnacentral:rRNA from 1 species
UACGGAGGGUGCAAGCGUUGUUCGGAAUUACUGGGCGUAAAGGGCGCGUAGGCGGUCGAUCAAGUCUGAUGUGAAAGCCCGGGGCUCAACCUCGGAAGUGCAUUGGAAACUGGUCGACUUGAGUUCGGGAGAGGAGAGCAGAAUUCCCGGUGUAGGGUUGAAAUCCGUAGAUAUCGGGAGGAAAACCAGUGGCGAAGGCGGCUCUCUGGAACGUAACUGACGCUGAGGCGCGAAAGCGUGGGGAG